rfam:Erinaceus europaeus unplaced genomic scaffold scaffold00054, whole genome shotgun sequence
CAAAUCUCCUACUUCAACAGUGUUUGGAUGGAACAG